AAAAAUUUGAAAAACAGUAAGGUUUCAAUCAAUGAAAUUAACAAAUGAGAGAUGAGAAACUAAUUUUGCAUAUAUAUAACAUGCAAAAUUUGACAUGGAAUUAUAAGUGCCGAUUUAGUCUCUGAACUAUUACCUCAGUGAUAAUUAGAUCCCUGAAUUUUUUUUUGGUAAAAUACUUCCCUAAAUUCAUUAAAAAUUGCUAAUUUCAUCCCUACUAUUAUAUUCAAAGCUAUUUUAUCUAAUUUUUCAUUAACUUAAGUCACUUGACACACUUUAGAUUGUAAUACCAUCAUUUUCUUGCCUAUAAGCCCUUAACAUUUCAUAUAGGUUGCGAAUCUAACGUCUAAUUUACCCUCUAAAGUUAACUCUAUACACUAUUUCUUUAUGAAAAAUUACCAAUAUACCCUCCAAUGUGUUUCACAUGCAAGUAAUAGGAUUUAAAUUGACAUAAAAUUGAAUAUAGUAGCUUUGAAUCUAGUAUUAGGGAUAUUGGCAGAUUUUUAUAAUUCAAUGAUUGAUUCUUCUAAAAAAAAUGAUUUA
rnacentral:lncRNA from 1 species